UUCAGAGCUUUCGCUGAUAAAAUUUCUGGUAUUUGAUAGAAUCUAUGAUGCCAUGUAUCUAAAAAAAAAGAUGUCGAGGACCUCCCGGAGAAAAAUAGGCCCAUAAUUUUAUAGAUCUUUUUUAGGCUUUCUGAUCAGUGUUCCCAACUAAGAUAAAACAAUGUGUUUUAUAUGGAACAGUCUGUUGUCCAGUGGUGUCACAGUGUCUGGUUUGUGUAUCUCUGUGUGUCCACUGGAGUUCUCACUUCCCCAUAUGGUCUCCCCACUUCAGGAACUGUUAUCAUACUAGCCUUUAUCUGGACUAAUCACUGUUCAUUGCACACAGCUGGUCCCACUCACAUUGUUUGCACCGGUCUCUAUAUACCCGAAAGACUCCAUCACACCUAGAUCCAGCGGUCUGGGAUUUCGAAUCUGUUCCCCAGCCACCAUGGAUGAGUGGAGGAGGAGACUCCUGAAAUUAACCACCCUUCAUCUAAGUGGGUGUGAGGUGGGUGACCGGGCUCAAGUGUUUUAGACCAUGGCAGUAGGGCUGGAUUAUGAUGCAGCGUUGAAGGACUGAAUAACUGCCUUGAUGACCCUCUGCCUCAGUGGGAGAUGAAGGCGCUUGAAAUCCUGGACUUUUGAGGCUUCACCAAAAACCUACACCAUCGUAAUCAAUGGGAUACACCAGCCACAACCGUCUCUCCAGACAUGAUGGUUGACUCUACGCCUGUGUCUCCAGACAAGAUGGCCACCAGCCCAGCGCCACUAAACAAGAUGACAGCCAAAGUUGACCUUCCAGAGUCAAGUCAGGUCCCCGUUGGCCUUCCAGAGUCAAGUCAGGUCCCCGUUGAUGUUCCAGAGUCAUGUCAAACCACAGUUAGACUUCAUGAACAAAGUCAAGCCACAGUUGAUCUUUAAGAGCCCAGUCUAAUCAUUACCAAUCUUCCAGAACUUCAUCACUUCUCAACAGAUCAUCCAGAGCCUCGUCAUGUCUCAGCUGAACUUCCAGAAUCUCCUCACAUCCUGUCUGUUGCACCCAGCAGUGUUCUCUCAGCCUGUUGUGUUGCUGUCAAGGAGACUGUUAUUGCUAUGGAACCUCCAGAGGUGGCGGAAACUGCUGCAGAAUCUUUGGAGGUGUCAGUAGUACCCAUCCAUGAACUCACCGCCUGCCCUGUCAUGGUUAUGAAGGCCAUUUGGGAACUCCCUAAUCCCCUCAUCAUGGCCACAGAGGCCAGCAUUGACCUGUUCAUGUUCUCUGUUUCAGUCCUACCUGACAGACUUGCUCUCCUGUGCCAUUGACUCCGUUGUGGCGGUUCUCUGCUCUGCACUGGUGGGCUUCUGUCUUGUCUGCUCGGCUGUGGUGGUCCUCUGCUACGCCCUUGUGGGUUUCUGUCUCAUCUGCUCGGCUGUGGUGGUCCUUGUCUUAUGUCACUCUGUAUUUCGUGUUCCCUUGCGGAUAUUCAUGUUUCUUGUUUUGACUGCUUACCUGGAUUUAGACCUUUGCCUGACUGUAAUAUGAUAUUUGGAUUCCCCUAAUAAACACUGCAUUUGGA